rnacentral:ncRNA from 1 species
CAACUUGAGAGUUUGAUCCUGGCUCAGAACGAACGCUGGCGGCAUGCCUAACACAUGCAAGUCGAACGAUGGCUUCGGCCAUAGUGGCGCACGGGUGCGUAACGCGUGGGAAUCUGCCUUUCGGUGCGGAAUAACUCAGGGAAACUUGAGCUAAUACCGCAUAAUGUCUUCGGACCAAAGAUUUAUCGCCGAAAGAUGAGCCCGCGUAGGAUUAGCUAGUUGGUGGGGUAAAGGCCUACCAAGGCGACGAUCCUUAGCUGGUCUGAGAGGA